rnacentral:rRNA from 1 species
GACGAACGCUGGCGGCGUGCUUAACACAUGCAAGUCGAACGGAAAGGCCUGCUUUCCCUUGUGGAUUGCGGGUACUCGAGUGGCGAACGGGUGAGUAACACGUGAGUGAUCUGCCCCCAACUUGGGUAUAAGCCUGGGAAACUGGGUCUAAUUCCCGAUAGGACUGCAGGGUGGUGCCUGUGGUGGAAAACGAUUUUCUAGUGGUUGGGGAUGAGCUCGCGGCCUAUCAGCUUGUUGGUGGGGUAAUGGCCUACCAAGGCGGCGACGGGUAGCCGGCCUGAGAGGGGGGACGGCCACAUUGGGACUGGGACACGGCCCAGACGCCUGCGGGAGGCAGCAGUGGGGAAGAGUGCACAAUGGGCGGAAGCCUGAUGCAGCGACGCCGCGUGGGGGAUGACGGCCUUCGGGUUGUAAACUCCUUUCGACCGCGAGGAAGCCACCUGGUUGGAAGGGUGGUGACGGUAGUGGUAGAAGAAGCACCGGCUAACUACGUG